rnacentral:rRNA from 1 species
UGCCAGCCGCCGCGGUAAUACGAAGGGACCUAGCGUAGUUCGGAAUUACUGGGCUUAAAGAGUUCGUAGGUGGUUGAAAAAGUUGGUGGUGAAAUCCCAGAGCUUAACUCUGGAACUGCCAUCAAAACUUUUCAGCUAGAGUAUGAUAGAGGAAAGCAGAAUUUCUAGUGUAGAGGUGAAAUUCGUAGAUAUUAGAAAGAAUACCAAUUGCGAAGGCAGCUCACUAAACUAUUACCGACGCUCAUGAACGAAAGCGUGGGGAGCGAACAGGAUUAGAUA